CUCGCUGGGCGGACGCGCUGUGGUGGCUAACCUCCGUUGUGUAAUACUCUAUAAAGUAGAUCUCGCCGUGUUCGGUGCUGUUUGCUCCCGAGAGAGCACGCCCUACGAUGGCAGCCUUACAGGCCAUUUCCUUGGUGAACGAUCUGACAGCACAAAUUGUAAGCCUUGCAAGCCACAAAGCAUUAUCCUUUCUCAAGGAUAGAUCCGCUUAAGCUCAAAAAGAAUUGUUAGCGAAUUGCGUUUCUUCUCUUCCUAAGAGAAGCUCUUUUAUCAGUUAGACGGCCUGUAUCUCAAUCUUCUCUAGUAUUCUGAAUGCACAUUAUCCGGUUCUGUUUUCCUCCUGCCUCAGUAUAGAUAGCAGUUUGAGAACAAACACCUAAAACCCUAUGCAUAUUUACUUAGAAAUAAGUCCCAUUGAAUUUCGUGGAACCUACUUCUGACAGCGUGGGAGGGCUUUUUGCAGUUUCCCUUGUUCCUAUUUUAUUCAAAAGUGCAGAUGCUGCCUGAAUGGCUUCUUUGGACUUAAGUUGGAUACAAAAUACAAAUAGGAUCAACAAAAUUCUAAAUCUAUACAACAAGGAUGGGGAACCUGUGGUUACUGGACUACAGCUCCCAUAAUCAAGGACUGCCUCUCCCCAUAUGAACUGAUCCAGACCCUGUGCUCAUCAACUGAAGCCCUACUCCACAUGCCCCCUCCAUGAGAUGUCCAGAGGGUGGCAAUCUGAUAACAGGCCUUUUCUGAGGAGGUUCCCCACUGUGGAAUGCUUUCUUCAGGGAGACUCACCUGGUGCCAUCACUACAUAUCUUUCAGUGGCAGGCAAACCCAUUUUUCAACCAGGCCUUUGGCUGUUAACAAUCCAUGACCAUUUAAAGCCGAUGGGUUGUUUUUAAUUAUUCCCCCCCCCACACACACACCGGUUUUAAUUAAUGUAGGGGGUUUUGCUUUGUCAUUUUGUUUUCAUAAAGAUGCCUUGAAUUGCCUGCAGCAAGAGAAGUAGUUUAAUAAAUUUAAGAAAUACUAAUAAUCAUCCCUGACCCCUGGCUGUACUGGCAGUGGCCGGUGGGUGUCUGACAAUAUCUGGUGGAAGAAAAAUUGUCCAUCUGUGUUGUCUAUCUUAAGAGGACUAAUAAGCAAUUUAGAAGAAAAUAAUAAUAAUAAUAAUAAUAAUAGAAUUAAAAUAAAAAGGCAGCUGACUGUUAGUUUAUUAAGAGACAGUGCCAGUGCAGGCCAGGCAAUUGCAGUUCAAAUUAAUACAGCAUCCAGCAGGCAGAGAAGAGCCUUCAGCAAUGUGUAAUAGUCCACAAAAGUGUCCCUAUUUUUAUCUGUGAAAUGCUGGAGAGACUGUGAUACUUCUGAACAUAGGCCAGGAACAUAUCUGCAGAUUCCUCCAUUCCUCUGAAACAAAUGGAAGUCGCCCGGUAGCAGAGGUUAACAUAUUCAGCCCCAAGGUUGCCAUUUAAAGUCACUACAAAACUUACAAACUUGAAUAAAUAUCAUAUGACCUUCAAGCAAUGUAUAACUGCCAGAGGUUUAGCCAAUGCUCACACACUACUCUGUAAUGUACUCUGACAGAAAUAGAGCAUGAAAUGAUACUGCUUCAGAAUCAGCAACAGCCUGCACACUAGCGCCGUACUGUUUAUUUUAUCUUCAACAAGCACAAGGAGCUUUGAUACAUUCUGCUGAAAGCAGCCUUUUCUCACUAAACACACCAUAAAUCAUAGAAGUGGCUUUCUUCUUUAUUUUACAAAGUUGCCCAUGUAACACAUUGAACUUUAAAACAACUGACACAGUGUGGGGGGCGGGGGCGGGAACUGAUACUGAAAAGGAAAAAGAUCCCCAGUUAGUUGCAUGGACUCUAGGUUCAAAUUAGGCAACACAUGUGCACACAUAGGCAGAGAGAUAUCUCCAACAUGCAUACAAAGUCAACACACUGUUGCAGCAAUGUACAAUAAAGUAUUGGUUGCAAACCAGCUCUCCUCUGGAGGGCCAAGGUACAUGCAAUACAGGGGAUCUCUAACUGGAUCUCCCUAUGGUUUUAUUUUUGUCCACAGCCUGGGCAAAGAGAGAAAAUACACAAAUGAAAACAGAACAUUGUGAGGAAUGGCAGACGUGCCCACAACAUCCCAAGAAACUCUGCCACAGCCUACCAAUUGGGGACAGUGCUGGCAACACGAUCCAUGUGGAAACAGAUGCAGCCAGUCUCCCACAUGUUGAUCCAGGAGCACAUUGCCAUGUUUCAAACAGAAAAAAAUAAAGCCAAAAGGUCAUGGAGCCCUGUUGCACACUUCGCUAAAACACAAUCUCACAUGCUCAGGAGGUUGCUGCCAUUGAUCUCUCAUGGCCGUAAGCACCAAAAUAAAAUGUAAACCUUAUCUUAAACCAUGCUAGCUUUAACUAUAGCUAGAAUAUACGAAAAAUUGUAACUGAUGGUUGAAUCACCAUGCCCAUUGUAUGGUGUAGGGUCAGGACCCAGUAGCGCUUUUUAGCAGGAUGAAUUUCUGACGUCUUGUUUGAUUUAAAUAUCAUAUCCAAUUGUGAAAAGCCUCACAGAACCUUGACCCCUAAGCCAUCAGGAUACUACAAGGUCUCGCUGAGAUGCGUUUGCUUUCCAGUCAAAGAAGCCAUUUUGUGUUAAUUACCUGCCCUGGAAUUUCUUGGAAUGAGUUUUAAUUUGUAAGUGUGCUUUUGGGUAUUAAAGGGCUAGCACACUCUGGCAAGAUCUUUAUAAGCUUAGGCUGUUCAAUUACAUUUAUGUACAACUUCCUUCUGUUUAAAUAUACAGUGUUACUUCACUAAUGCACAAUGAUGUUCAGACAAAGAAUAUGAAUGUACCAGAAUUUUAAUGCUGAAAACUGAAGUGUCUUCAGUGAUUCAUUUGUGUCAUAUCUGAUAGGUUGCAUGUCCAAUUGAAUGAGAAUGCCUGUGAUGGCCGUGCUAAUUAUUUGACUCGUGGCAAGAACAAAGGUCUCCUUGGGUGUAUGUUAAUGAGCUUACUUCUCAGGAAACAUAGGAUAGAAUUCAAACUAUACAUAAUGGUCAUGCUGCCCAAGACAGGCAGAUGUGUGCUGCAAAAUGUCAUGUAUUGUUCUUUUGACAAGUCUGCUAAUUUUUUUGCUGUUUUCUCUAGAUAACUUGGAACUGGAGUCCAACCUUGAAGGAAACCAGCUUGUGUAUUUCUGAAUGAGCCCCAGCUCUGGAGCUAAACAUGAGCCUAGACAAUCUGUGUGUUCAGCUGCGUGUGGAAACCUGAUAGCUGUCUUAACACAAGAAACUAUUACCUUUCCAUUUUACUUACUAGAAGAAAGAAUUGUUGUGGCUGUGCAUGUAAUGUCCUUGCUGUCCAUUCUGCCCUUUUAGGAGUGUCUUCCCGAACAGUGUCCCUUGCAAUACUGUGUACUACCUGCAUAACAGUAUAGUGUUGAAUGUGAUGGCUAUGCCCAGGGGUGGCACGUCCUCCCAUUUUGUCACCUGAGACGGAACGGGAAUGUAGUAGACAGUAGUAAAGCUCAGGCCUCAACUUUCCUGA